UACGUAGGGUGCAAGCGUUAAUCGGAAUUACUGGGCGUAAAGCGUGCGCAGGCGGUGAUGUAAGACAGGUGUGAAAUCCCCGGGCUUAACCUGGGAACGGCAUUUGGGACUGCAAGGCUUGAGUGCGGCAGAGGAGACUGGAAUUCCUGGUGUAGCAGUGAAAUGCGUAGAUAUCAGGAGGAAUACCGAUGGCGAAGGCAGGUCUCUGGGCUGACACUGACGCUCAUGCACGAAAGCGUGGGGAGCAAACAGG
rnacentral:rRNA from 1 species